AUGCCGACAAUCACGGCUGACUCACCAGAUCAGUUCCGCGGCAAGCUUCGACUUCCACGUUUUGCUUUGCCAAGCCACUAUGAGCUCCAUUUCCGCCCUGACCUCAUGUCCUACACCUUCUCUGGUGUGGUGGCAAUUACUGUCGUCGUCUUAGCACCGACCCGUUUCCUCGUGCUCAAUGUUAUGGAACUCACCAUUGACCGUGCAUCCAUUCACUUCAAGUGUUUGGUGCCAACCGAGGUGGUGUUUUUCAAGGAUGACCAAAUUAUGGUGCUCGGGUUCCGUAAAGAGCUUCCACUAGGUGAGGGUGUUCUCAGGGUGCACUUCAAUGGCACCCUCAAUCAUGAGAUGAUGGGAUUUUACAGGAGUAAAUAUCAGUAUAAGGGUAAGACGACACACAUGGCGGUGACACAGUUUCAGCCUGUGUAUGCGUGGCGAUGCUUUCCCUGUUGGGAUGAGCCUGCUUUUAAGGCGAAGUUCAAGGUAACAUUAGAAGUUUCAUCUGAGAUGGUAGCACUUUCCAACAUGCCUAUAUCUAGUGAGAUAGUGCGUGGUUCUAUGAGGAUUAUCCAUUUUGAGGAAUCACCUCUCAUGUCAACUUAUUUAGUUGCCAUGGUUGUUGGUAUUUUUGACUUUGUUGAGGAUGUAACAUCGAAAGGCACUAAAGUUCGUGUGUACACUGAAGUUGGUAAGAGUUCACAAGGGAAGUUGGCAUUGGAUGUUGGGGUGAAGUCAUUGGAUUUCUAUAAUGAUUACUUUGGCACUCCCUAUGCACUCGCUAAGUUGGAUAUGAUUAGUAUCCCUGAAUUUAAUUGGAUGGGAAUGGAGAAUUACGGACUGAUCACUUUCCAUCCCACGGUCUUUCUUUUUGAUGGUCCAUCUACAACAUCCACAAAACUACAGGAAAUUGCAGUACUUGUGGCACAUGAAUUGGCUCAUCAAUGGUGUGGAAAUCUUGUAACCAUGGAAUGGUGGAAUCACUUAUGGUUAAACGAGGGAUUUGCUACAUGGAUGAGCUAUCAAGCAGUAGAUUCCUUUUUUUCAGAAUGGAAUAUUUUGCUGGAUUUUCUUGAGAACACAAUGUCUACUCUUAAAUUGGAUUCAAUAGCAGGGUCUCAUCCUAUAGAGGUUGAAAUACACCAUAUCAAUGAAAUCGUUAGGAUUUUUGACGACAUCAUUUAUAUUAAAGGCGCUUCUAUUCUUCAAAUGAUACAUAGCUACAUUGGAGCAGAGCGUUUUCAGAUAGCAUUGAAGAAAUAUAUACAAAAGUAUGCCUACUCAAAUGCUAAAACAGAGGAUCUAUGGGUCGUGCUUGAAGAAGAAACUGGCGAGCCAUUCAAGGAUUUCAUGAGUACGUGGACAAAGCAACCAGGGUAUCCUAUAAUUAAUAUAAAACAUAAAGGGAAAGGAAUCCAAGUUGAACAGGCCCAAUUUGUGCUAGAUGGAUCCUCUCGAGCUGGCUUGUGGGAUGUGCCAAUAACUUUAAGAUGCUCUUCAUCAACAAAUAAAUUCAUUUUGAAACACAAGCAUGAUAAUUUUGAUGUAUGUGGUGAACGGGAGAGGGGUGGAAAUAUUUGGAUUAAGUUGAAUGUAAAUGAAACAGGGUUUUAUCGAGUGAAGUAUGACAAAGAAAUUAAAACUAGACUUCAGAACGCAUUAGAGGCCAAUGAGUUCUCUUCAAUGGAAAAAAUUGGAAUUUUGGAGAACUCACUUAUGCUUUCCAUAUCAAGAGAAGACACACUAGCAUCAUUGCUAUGUAUAGCGUAUGCUUGUCGGGAAGUAGCCGACUACAAUGUUUUGACACACAUACAAGCUAUAACUAUAACUGUUUACCAUGUAUCUAUUGAUGCUACGCCUAACUUGGUUGCUGACAUCAAAAAGCUUGUCACUAAAAUUCUUCUGCCACCUACUCUAAAGUUGGGUUGGGAUCCCAAGGAUGGUGAGGGAGACCUAAUAGUAAGUUUGAGAGAAACUCUCUUGGUUUCCCUUGUAAAACUUGGACAUGAUCAUACCAUAAGUGAAGGUCUUCGACGCUUUGACACCUUAAUCCAUGAUCACAACUCUUCUAUCCUUUCUCCUGGUACCAGAAAGGCUGCAUACCUAUCUGUGAUGCAAACUGUUUGUAGUUCAAAUAGAUUUAAAUAUGAUUCUCUUCGACAACUCUACAAGGACUUUGGUGACGAGGAGGAAAAGUUACAUGUCUUAGGCACAUUAUCUUCUUGCCUGGAUAAGGAUAUUGUUCUUGAGUCACUGAAUUUAAUAUUCACUAAUGAGAUCAUUAGUAAAUGGAGAUCAAUUAUAUUUUUAUCUAAUGAAUUCGCCAACUAG
rnacentral:rRNA from 1 species